rnacentral:rRNA from 1 species
UACGUAGGGGGCUAGCGUUGUCCGGAAUUAUUGGGCGUAAAGAGCUCGUAGGCGGUCUGUCGCGUCGGAUGUGAAAACUCGGGGCUCAACCCCGAGCCUGCAUUCGAUACGGGCAGACUAGAGUUCGGUAGGGGAGACUGGAAUUCCUGGUGUAGCGGUGAAAUGCGCAGAUAUCAGGAGGAACACCGGUGGCGAAGGCGGGUCUCUGGGCCGAUACUGACGCUGAGGAGCGAAAGCGUGGGGAGCGAACAGG